rnacentral:lncRNA from 1 species
UAAAAUAGAUACACACAUAAGAUGGUAACAUAGGAGACUGUCUAAAAUAGAUACACACAUAAGAUGGUAAUAUAGGAGACUGUCUAAAAUAGAUACAUACACACAUAAGAUGGUCAUAUAGGAGACUGUCUAAAAUAGAUACAUACACACAUAAGAUGGUCAUAUAGGAGACUGUCUAAAAUAGAUACAUACACACAUAAGAUGGUAAUAUAGGAGACUGUCUAAAAUAGAUACAUACACACAUAAGAUGGUAAUAUAGGAGACUGUCUAAAAUAGAUACAUACACACAUAAGAUGGUAACAUAGGAGACUGUCUAAAAUAGAUACAUACACACAUAAGAUGGUAACAUAGGAGACUGUCUAAAAUAGAUACAUACACAUAUAAGAUGGUAAUAUAGGAGACUGUCUAAAAUAGAUACAUACACAUAUAAGAUGGUAAUAUAGGAG